AUCAAGCUGACGAGUCCUAAACAGGACGAAACGCGCGUCCUGGAU
rnacentral:hammerhead_ribozyme from 1 species